GAUACUCUGAGACGUGAUACCGAGCCGCUUCAGGCGAAGUCAUUAAUCCUAUGCUGCCUAGAGAAGCCCAGUAGCGAGUUGACAUGGUGCCCGUACCCCAAACCAACACAGGUGGACAGGUAGAGCAUACCAAGGCGAGUGGGAUAACUAUGGUUAAGGAACUCGGCAAAUUUCCUCCGUAACUUCGGGAUAAGGAGGACCCCAGUAGCGUGACGAGACUUGCUCUCCGAGCGUGAAGGGGUGGCACAAAAUUGAGGGAAGCGACUGUUUACCAAAAACACAGCAGCGUGCUAAGCCGUAAGGCGCUGUAUACGCUGUGACUCCUGCCCGGUGCUGGAAGGUUACGGGGAUGGGUUAGUCCUUUGGGACGAAGCUCUGAACCUAAGCCCCAGUAGACGGCGGCCGUAACUAUAACGGUCCUAAGGUAGCGAAAUUCCUUGUCGGGUAAGUUCCGACCUGCACGAAUGGAGUAACGACUUCCCUACUGUCUCAACCAUAGACCCUGCGAAAUUGAAGUACGAGUAAAGAUGCUCGUUAGCUGCAGAAGGACGGAAAGACCCCGUGGACCUUUACUAUAACUUGAUGUUGUGUUUUGUCAUAUGUUGUGUAGGAUAGGUGGGAGACAAGGAAGCAUGGACGCUAGUCUGUGUGGAGUCAUCGUUGAAAUACCACCCUGCAUAUGGUGAGGCUCUAACCUAGACCCGUUAUCCGGGUUGGGGACAGCGUCGGGCGGGUAGUUUAACUGGGGCGGUUGCCUCCUAAAGAGUAACGGAGGCGCCCAAAGGUUCCCUCAGCCUGGUUGGCAAUCAGGCGUCGAGUGCAAUGGCAAAAGGGAGCUUGACUGCGAGACCUACAAGUCGAGCAGGAGCGAAAGCUGGGCAUAGUGAUCCGGCGGUUGCGUGUGGAAGCGCCGUCGCUCAACGGAUAAAAGGUACCCCGGGGAUAACAGGCUAAUCUUGCCCAAGCGUCCAUAGCGACGGCAAGGUUUGGCACCUCGAUGUCGGCUCAUCGCAUCCUGGGGCUGAAGCAGGUCCCAAGGGUUGGGCUGUUCGCCCAUUAAAGCGGUACGCGAGCUGGGUUCAGAACGUCGUGAGACAGUUCGGUCCCUAUCCUCUGUAGCCGUAGGUGAAUUGAGGAAAGCUGUCCCUAGUACGAGAGGACCGGGACGGACGCAGCUCUCGUGUGCCAGUUGUCCUGCCAAGGGCAUGGCUGGUUAGCGACCUGCGGAAAGGAUAACCGCUGAAAGCAUCUAAGCGGGAAGCCUCUUCCAAGAUGAAUUCACCCACAGGGUUAACCUGGUAAGGCCCGUGGUAGACCACCACGUUGAUAGGCCGGAAGUGUAAGCGUGGCAACACGUUCAGCUGACCGGUACUAAUCGGCCGAGGGCUUGAAGU
rnacentral:rRNA from 1 species